rnacentral:rRNA from 1 species
GAUGAACGCUGGCGGCGUGCCUAAUACAUGCAAGUCGAGCGAACAGACGAGGAGCUUGCUCCUCUGACGUUAGCGGCGGACGGGUGAGUACCACGUGGAUAACCUACCUAUAGGACUGGGAUAACUUCGGGAAACCGGGGCUAAUACCGGAUAAUAUAUUGAACCGCAUGGUUCAAUAGUGAAAGACGGUUUUGCUGUCACUUAUAGAUGGAUCCGCGCCGCAUUAGCUAGUUGGUAAGGUAACGGCUUACCAAGGCAACGAUGCGUAGCCGACCUGAGAGGGUGAUCGGCCACACUGGAACUGAGACACGGUCCAGACUCCUACGGGAGGCAGCAGUAGGGAAUCUUCCGCAAUGGGCGAAAGCCUGACGGAGCAACGCCGCGUGAGUGAUGAAGGUCUUCGGAUCGUAAAACUCUGUUAUUAGGGAAGAACAAAUGUGUAAGUAACUAUGCACGUCUUGACGGUACCUAAUCAGAAAGCCACGGCUAACUACGUG